GAUGAACGCUAGCGGCAGGCCUAAUACAUGCAAGUCGAACGGUAAGUAUGAUAGCAAUAUUGUACCAAGAGUGACGUACGGGUGCGUAACACGUAUGCAACCUACCCUUUACAGAUGGAUAGCUCGGGGAAACUCGAAUUAACCCGUCAUAAUAUAAUUGAAUGGCAUCAUUUGGUUAUUAAAUCUACGGAGGUAAAGGAUGGGCAUGCGUCUGAUUAGUUAGUUGGCGGGAACGGCCCACCAAGACGACGAUCAGUAGGGGAACUGAGAGGUUGAUCCCCCAC
rnacentral:rRNA from 1 species